GGCUUCAUGGUGUAGUGGUAUCAUUCACGCUUUGGGUGCGUGAGGUCACGAGUUCGAUCCUCGUUGAAGCCC